rnacentral:rRNA from 1 species
GACGAACGCUGGCGGCGUGCCUAAUACAUGCAAGUAGAACGCGGAAGGAGGAGCUUGCUCUUCUGGAUGAGUUGCGAACGGGUGAGUAACGCGUAGGUAACCUGCCUUGUAGCGGGGGAUAACUAUUGGAAACGAUAGCUAAUACCGCAUAACAGUAGAUGUUGCAUGACAUUUACUUAAAAGGUGCAAUUGCAUCACUACCAGAUGGACCUGCGUUGUAUUAGCUAGUUGGUGGGGUAACGGCUCACCAAGGCGACGAUACAUAUCCGACCUGAGAGGGGGAUCGGCCACACUGAGACUGAGACACGGCCCAGACUCCUACGGGAGGCAGCCGGAGGGAAUCUUCGGCAAUGGACGGAAGUCUGACCGAGCAACGCCGCGUGAGGGUAGAGGGUUUUCGGAUCGUAAAGUUCUGUUGUAAGAGAAGAACGAGCGUGAGAGUGGAACGUUCACACUGUGACGGUAUCUUACAAGAAAGGAACGGCUAACUACGUG